rnacentral:lncRNA from 1 species
UAAAGUUUUAUCCACUCAUAUGAACCACAUUAGUUAGCAAUAAUAACUUGUUGAAUCCAAACCAAUCAGUCGAAAAUGAUUGAACUUAGUUAUUAUUACUUGUGCUCAUGGUCUCUUAUAUAUCUAUUCACAAGCUCAUUUUCAUCCGAUAUAGUACUAUUGGGCUCUGUCAUAAGUAAAUUUUGACACCUACUUAACUUCAAAUUUUAGGUAAAGUUUGGUAGCACGUAUAAAUUAAUAUUAAGACGCUAGAAUGCUCAAAAAAUAGA